rnacentral:rRNA from 1 species
UACAGAGGGUGCGAGCGUUGUUCGGAAUUAUUGGGCGUAAAGGGCGCGUAGGCGGUGCGGUAAGUCACCUGUGAAAUCUCCUGGCUCAACUGGGAGCUUGCAGGCGAAACUGCCGUGCUGGAGUGUGGGAGAGGUGCGUGGAAUUCCUGGUGUAGCGGUGAAAUGCGUAGAUAUCGAGAGGAACACCAGUGGCGAAGGCGAGUCCCUGGACAACACCUGACACUGAGGCACGAAAGCUAGGGGAGCAAACAGG